UACGUAGGGUGCGAGCGUUAAUCGGAAUUACUGGGCGUAAAGCGUGCGCAGGCGGUUAUUUAAGUCAGGUGUGAAAGCCCUGGGCUUAGCCUAGGAAUGGCGCUUGAGACUGGAUAGCUUGGAGUGUGGCAGAGGGAGGUGGAAUUCCACGUGUAGCAGUGAAAUGCGUAGAGAUGUGGAGGAACACCGAUGGCGAAGGCAGCCUCCUGGGCCAGCACUGACGCUCAUGCACGAAAGCGUGGGGAGCAAACAGG
rnacentral:rRNA from 1 species